AGAAAGCAGUUCAGUGCGGUGGAAUGACAAUCAAGUGUAAAAUCCUCAUUAUUGUUGAAUAGUGAUAGAGAGAGAUUUAAAGUAAAAAUAUACUAAUUGUUAAUUAAAAUUAUAUUAAGAAAAUCAUAUAUAAACACGAGUGUGAGGCAUCUGGAACUUUUAACUUCUUAUCUUUUCCUUGAACAAUGAUCCCUCCACGCCGCUAUUUUGCUGUCGUCUUUUCUUCAACUCCGUGCUGAUUACAGUCUCCCCUCUUGGCUUGGCUAAGCUCUGAAGAAAAGUAAAUGGCAUCAACCGAUUCGCAAGAAUCAUUUCCAAAAGUACUACUCUUCAUUAAACCACCAGCUUUCACCGUCAUCGGAGAAGAAUCCUUCACUUCUACUAAAUUCCGUUACUUAAAAGCAUACGAGUCACCUCUCCCUCUCCAUCAAUUUUUGGCCCAACAUGCUCAGUCCGUACAAGCCAUCCUUUCCUCCGGUGGUGCUCCCGUCACCGCCGACAUCCUUCGCUUCCUUCCAUCUGUCCGCGUAAUAGUCACCACCAGUGCGGGCCUCAACCAGAUUGACCUCCCUGAAUGCCGCCGCCGUGGAAUCUCAAUCGCCAAUGCCGGCGACGUGUACUCUGCUGAUGUGGCUGAUCUCGCAAUUGGUUUGUUAAUCGAUGUUCUGAGAAACAUUUCGGCUAGUGAUCGCUAUGUUAAACAAGGGCUUUGGUCUUCCAAAGGAGACUAUCCUCUUGGCUUUAAGUUGAGUGGCAAGCGGAUUGGGAUUGUUGGAUUAGGAAGUAUUGGAUAUGAAGUUGCUAAAAGGCUUGAUGCCUUUGGUUGCUAUAUAUCUUACAACUCCAGGAAGCAAAAAUUUUAUGUAUCGUACCCUUUCUAUCCAAAUGUUUGUGAACUUGCAGCCAACUGUGAUGCCCUCGUCAUCUGUUGCGGCUUGACAGACCAAACUUUCCACAUGAUUAAUGAGCAAGUCUUUUCAGCAUUGGGGAAGAAUGGAGUCGUUGUUAAUAUUGGGCGUGGGCCUAUUAUCGAUGAAAAGGAAUUGAUUAGGUGUUUGGUAGAAGGAGAGAUUGCAGGUGCUGGAUUGGAUGUGUUCGAGAAUGAGCCUAAUAUUCCUCAGGAGUUUGUUUCCAUGAAUAAUGUUGUCUUGUCACCGCAUUGUGCUGUCUUUACUCCAGAAUCUAUGAAGGACUUGAGUGAACUUGUGGUGGGGAAUCUGGAAGCUUUCUUCGCGAACAAACCAUUACUUUCUGAAUAUUUGGACGAGUGAAUUCACAGGAUACGUAAGAGUGAUGUAGUAAAGAUGAAGAACUGUAUUGUCACAGUUACGAACAUAAAUUACAAGUGGGACAUCAGAAUCACCAUUAACAACAAUUCGAUUGUUAUAGUGGGUUGGGAUUUUUAAUGUACGUAAUUUAGCAAUGAUUCCUUAUGUGCUAAUGGCACAUGAGUGCCUAGAAAAUCUGAGUGCAGAGAAAUGUAUAUACAGGUCCUAAUCUUUGAAGUUUGAACCACCACCAGUCUUCAUAUUCCAUCAAUAUCAAGUAUCCCAAAAGCAAUGGUUCUUGAAAGCAUGGGAGUCUCCUCUUUCUUUUCACCAGUUCUUGACCGCUCAUGUAUAUUAUAUCCAAGCUAUGCUCUCUUCAGGCUCUGUGUGUCAUUGUCAUCUCCAGCUGUGGUCUCAACCACAUUGACAUGCAAGUGUCCGCGACAAGGGAUUGCCAUAUCCAAUGCUGGAACCACUUGUUCUGAAGAUGUUGCAGAUAUAGCUGUAAGUUUAUUAAUUGAUCCAUCGGGAAAGAUUUCUGCCGCCGAUUGGUAUGCGAUGCAAGGAUCCAUGGACUACCAGGUCCUAAGGAUACAGCUCAUUAUCAAGUAGUCAAGCACAGUGGAGUUUAUUUGAAUCCUCGAGUGAUCUUCAGAGGAGUGAGUGUCAAGCUCUGUAGCUUAGGAUUGUGAGUGUGCUUCUUCUGUUGUGAAAAUACUAUAGGAUAGGCUUGUAUGCCUAAACUCGGUGCGUCUAGGACCAAUUUUUACUCGAGUUGACUAAACUUGGUAAUGGCAACCCUCAAUGGCACUGUUUGCUAAAAUUCUUGGAAAAUAAGUAGCAUAAUAAAUGGAUUCUUGAUACCCAUUGAAAUAUGUUA